GACGAACGCUGGUGGCGCGCCUAACACAUGCAAGUCGAACGAGCGAGCGAGAGCUUGCUUUCUCAAGCGAGUGGCGAACGGGUGAGUAACGCGUGAGGAACCUGCCUUAAACAGGGGGACAACAUCUGGAAACGACUGCUAAUACCGCAUAAGCCCACAGGUCGCCUUCGACCAGAGGGAAAAGGAGCAAUCCGCUAUGAGAUGGCCGCGCGUCCGAUUAGCUAGGUGGUGUGGUAACUGCCCACCAAGGCAACGAAGGGUAGCCGGACGGAGGGGCUGAAAGGUCACAAUGGGGCUGAGGCACGGACCAGAAUGCGAGGGAGGGGAGCAGUGGGGAAUAUUGCAGAAGGGAGGAAAACGUGACGACGCGACGCGGGGGAGAGGAAGAAGGGCGUCGGAUAGUAAACUCGUGUUGUAGGGGAAGAUAAUGACGGUACUGAACAAGGAAGUGACGGCUAACUACGUG
rnacentral:rRNA from 1 species